GAUGAACGCUGGCGGCGUGCCUAAUACAUGCAAGUCGAGCGAACGGACGAGAAGCUUGCUUCUCUGAUGUUAGCGGCGGACGGGUGAGUAACACGUGGAUAACCUACCUAUAAGACUGGGAUAACUUCGGGAAACCGGAGCUAAUACCGGAUAAUAUUUUGAACCGCAUGGUUCAAAAGUGAAAGACGGUCUUGCUGUCACUUAUAGAUGGAUCCGCGCUGCAUUAGCUAGUUGGUAAGGUAACGGCUUACCAAGGCAACGAUGCAUAGCCGACCUGAGAGGGGGAUCGGCCACACUGGAACUGAGACACGGUCCAGACUCCUACGGGAGGCAGCAGUAGGGAAUCUUCCGCAAUGGGCGAAAGCCUGACGGAGCAACGCCGCGUGAGUGAUGAAGGUCUUCGGAUCGUAAAACUCUGUUAUUAGGGAAGAACAUAUGUGUAAGUAACUGUGCACAUCUUGACGGUACCUAGUCAGAAAGCCACGGCUAACUACGUG
rnacentral:rRNA from 1 species